rnacentral:rRNA from 1 species
AUUGAACGCUGGCGGCAGGCCUAACACAUGCAAGUCGAGCGGAUGAAGGGAGCUUGCUCCUGGAUUCAGCGGCGGACGGGUGAGUAAUGCCUAGGAAUCUGCCUGGUAGUGGGGGAUAACGUCCGGAAACGGGCGCUAAUACCACAUACGUCCUGAGGGAGAAAGUGGGGGAUCUUCGGACCUCACGCUAUCAGAUGAGCCUAGGUCGGAUUAGCUAGUUGGUGGGGUAAAGGCCUACCAAGGCGACGAUCCGUAACUGGUCUGAGAGGAUGAUCAGUCACACUGGAACUGAGACACGGUCCAAACUCCUACGGGAGGCAGCAGUGGGGAAUAUUGGACAAUGGGCGAAAGCCUGAUCCAGCCAUGCCGCGUGUGUGAAGAAGGUCUUCGGAUUGUAAAGCACUUUAAGUUGGGAGGAAGGGCAGUAAGUUAAUACCUUGCUCUUUUGACGUUACCAACAGAAUAAGCACCGGCUAACUUCGUG